GCCGUUCAUUCUCCCUUUUGGACGGAGCAUGAGGAUAAGGAAGGUUUUGGAUAGGAGUAGCGCUCACUACCUCCUUUCCCUUUGCAACUCUAGCACUCUUCCAUCUAGGCUUUUUCACUACCUCCCUUAUUACCUCAUCACUUGUAUUUUCCUCAAUCUCCACACCUUUUUUCUUUUCAACUUCACCAUUAUUUUUAUUCUUUUCAAC
rnacentral:lncRNA from 1 species